AGAACCCAAAUCAGUCAAUUCAUAAGCAAACAAAUCUCUUCUAAUUGAAAUGCUUGCCAUGCGAGGAGUGACAGCCUUCUUUUUAUUGAUACCUCCAGAAACAAUAGAAAAAAUCAUUGCACCAGACGAGAAGAGAACAGCUCAGUGUCUGACAGCGUGGUUUUGGACGCUGCUUUUGUCCAGUUGCAGCAGUGCUGUGCAGAGAUGUGGUUCCCUCAUACUGAUACACUUCCACCGAGGCUCCGAAAACAGCGAGGAUGGUUCUGGCUAUGGAUCACCAACAUUACCCACCGCCACAGUGAUACCUUCUCCUGCUGUGACUCCUGCGUCCUCUACAACCGUGGGCAGCACCCAGCCAGUCCUGGUCUCUACAAGGCCUACUGAAGGCAGCUCUGAAGCAGAAAGCAUUCCAACCACUGAACUGCAUGACAAGAGCAAUAACGAGAGCCUAGAGACAGAGGAGCCAUCUGUCUUGGUGUAUGCUGUCCCCGCUGUGCUGCUGGCCCUGCUGAUUUUUCUGGUUAUAGCUUUUAUAGUAGUCCAUAAAAGGAAAAAGUCUAAGCAAGAUGAGUUGGGAAGUGAAAAUGUAAAAAGGCAACAGGCAGAGGAGAGGCAGCGGGAUAGGGCGGGCGAGAGCUGCCCCACAGGGACCCAUGCAGCAUCUGCCCCUGGCCCCGCCAGCCACCACGAGAUAUGGCCAUGCCACGAGCAGAGUCCUAUUUUUGAAGAAGACACCCCCUCUGUUAUGGAGAUAGAAAUGGAAGAGCUUGAUAAGUGGAUGAACAGCAUGAACAAAAAUGGUACACGGUAACCCCUCUACUCCAUCAUCCCUCUCUUUCUAGCUGACGUAGAUCCCACGCGUAGAAAACCAAUCUGAUUGUGAAUGUUUGCCUACUGUAAGAGAAGAAGAAAAAGAAUCAAUGGCCAACCCGAGUGAUGGUGAAUCAUGAAGUCACGGCAGCAGAGAACUGCUUAAAGGGAAGCAGCACACGAGCUGACAGACCCCAGAUCCCGGAUGAACUGGAUUUAAACAUGAUUCAUCUCAAAAAGCUGGAGGAGCAAAUGCUUUUGUUGUGCCCUGCUACUUACAAUCUUCAGAAAAGAAACAUCAAGAGGAAAAAAAAAGAAAAAAGUGCUAUAGUAGGACUAGGAGGUUGACUUAAAUUCCUUCUGUAGUGACCAGUCAAGAGAAACAUUUUCUCCACCCCACAAAAGAGCUGUCCAUGUUUCUGCGUCGCUCUCCUUCUCUUCAUAGUGCAACAGCUAAGAGCAUGUACGUGCUGAAUUCGGUGGGCUGUUUAUUCAUUCUUUUUGAUUUAAACAGCACCCACAAUUCUGUAUUGCACUGGUUUAGUGUUUGAAUCAGACUGUUGAGCUCAUAUCGAUGUCAUGUUUACUUUCAAUUUGUUUUUUGGUAAUGGUGCACUGAUUUGCACAAGACCUCUGCUUAGGGCAGUGAAAGACUAGGACUAACAGACAGCUGUGAGGACAGAUAGCAGCUGAAGCUCUCCCAAAGGAUUUGCCAGGAGGCAGCCUACAACCCAGCAAGGGCACAAUCCUCCUAGCAAGCAUUUUGUUUUUCAAAUUAAAGACACCAUAGAAAUUAAAAAUAUUUUUUCAAUAUUGCCUUUGAGUUAACCCACUCCACAGCCCAGCACUGUGCUAGAUCUCACCACCCAGCACUUCUUCCUGUGCAGCACUGCUCACCAACAGCAACCUGCUUCAGGCAUGCUCAGCUUGAAAAUGCUUCUCCUCAUCAAAAUGGGCUGGGAGACUCAACAAUUCAGUGCUCACACCAAACACGCCUGGUAAAUAAGCAUGCAUUAUUCCUAACCACUUGGUCAAGGACUUCUGCUGCAAGAAGAUUACAGCUUCAGGUUUUGAAGACUGAGCUUGGAAUAUCUCAAAGACAUAGAAAGGCUUCUCAACAUGCCUGCUCUCCUUCAGUGACACUGGAAAGUCAGACUCCUGAGAUACCUCAAGUUGGAAGCACAAACGCUGUAUUACUGCCAUGGAUUUUGGGUGGUAUGUCUUACUGAUGUGGUUUAAGUACGCAACAUACAAAACUGGAUACGUCUGUGCAAAGCUUCCCCUCCACUGUAUUGAAAACUUGCAUGUCAUGGUACCUUAGAUCCUUCCAUAUCACAUCCUACCUGUCCUCAUGUUCGAUUUAAAUGAGAAGCUUCCUGCUCCACAGCUGUUCAUUCUGCUCAGUUUUCUUCUGCUUGCAAGUAUUUCAUUAAUAUAAUGUUCGUGCCUAGCUCGGUUAAAGAGAGCAAGUGAACAAAACCCCCAGAGCCCUAGGAUGACAAUUAAUGCUCGCUAACAUCUGACAGAUACAGAGGAGGGGUCAACAUUGUGACUAAUUGAGAAUGUGUCAAACAGCAAAGUGUUUACAGCUAACCAUUUUCCUGAAUGUAUUCAUCACUGAAUAUGAAUUGACUAGUAAUUUCCUCAAAGAGUAAAUAUUUCCUCAUUGUUCCAAGACAAUUUAUUACAUAUACUGGAUUUAAUAUGGGUGAUGCUAAAUUAAUUUUCCUUGCUUGGAUGAUUUUUAACUUUGAAAAAAAUGUUGUAAGAGAUAAAUGUAAAACAUUUUUUUCAAACAUUUUCACAAGCUCCUGACAGGAAAAUCACUCUCUAGAACACUGAUUUACAAUAAUACAAUCACAGGGGAAAAGGGGGAAGACAAAUUAAGGCAAGUAAAAAAAAAAAUGGAAGCGGAUAUUUUCCAGGAGCAGCUUUGUUAGCAGUUUCUUCCCAAUGGAACUAAGUAGCUACGCUAAGGCUUCCUACAGUUUGCAAAGCAAUAAUCUGAGGAUGUUCAAAAGAAUGUUUUCUGUAGUUUUUCAUGAGGAAAAACAUGUGCUUUGAGACCAUUAUUCAUUACUGGUUGCAAACCACUGCAUGCCAUACACACAACAGCAGCAUCCCAUGGCACCUCUUGUCCUACUCCAGCCCACACCACCCCAUAUCCAGCAGGUGCUGCCUUCUCCAAGAAGCCAGCUGAAGCCCAGGUCAGACAAAGAACCAGGGUCUGUACUUCUUGCUGUGUUGUUUUUUUGGUUGACUUAAAAACUUACCAACCCUUCAAAAUGGCAUUCUGUGGAGUAACAAAACCAUGACAUGAUGAUCCUUCACCCUGUCCUAGCCAUGGAUAUAGGACAGUGAAUAAUGAACCACAAUGCAUGGAGACAGUACUUGAAAACAGACUGUCAGGCAUAUAUCCUGUUGGUUUUGACUUACUAUUAAUCCCCAAAUGGUCAGAAUGCUGCACAGUUUCAAGUAAUUUUCUUUAACAUUUGGUUUCCCUGAAAGAUUUAAGUAAAACUGGAGGGAACACAUUUUCUGUAAACUUAUGUUAAUAAGCGUUAACCCUUACUCUGAAGUUCAUCAUUAGCAAUUUCUACCUCAAGCUUUAGAAUCAUUUUUGCCCAGAAUUGAUCUUGAGGUGAGAGCUCAAUAAAAAAAUAUUAUGACAUUUAUCCUUUCUAAAAAUUUACAUCAGGACAUGUAUUUCCUUCUUCAUUUUGAAAAGGUUAGAAAGUUCUGAAAAAAUAAGGGCUUGGACACUUCUGUAGCCAGUUCUGGAUACAAGUUAUCUGCCAUUUUUUAAGGCAGCAGAUCUAAUCUAAAAGUUGCCAAGUAAUUACUGAAAAGUUAAGACUUCAUUAAAUCCUGCCCUCCUGAUGCAAAAGAGACCAGGUGUUGAAUAAUUUGUAUUGCAGGAUAGUCGUAGAUACUUCUAAUAGGUCCCUGAGUACUCUGCAAAUAUGAUUUUUAGUAUUUCUAUUUUCCCUUAACAGAGGCUUUUAUGGCUUUUUUGUUCUUUCCCUCUGAUCUCCUAGUGUUAACAACAGACUCCUCUGGAGACUGAUGUGAUAACCCCACUGCCUCUCCAGGCUGCCCAUUUCACCCCUCUAGUAUCUCUCUUUUAUUUUCAUUUCUAUGUCGACUUCAGCAUUUUCUAAGGCCAUUACUCAGAAUCCAUCCAGGUUACAGCCAAGCAUCUCUGCAGACCCCAGCAGUUACGGAUGAAGCUUCAGCAUGGUCACAGCCCUGAUUCCUCUCUUCCUCACUCCCAUCCAAUAAUCCCCUCUCCUGAUACUAACCUGCCCAUUGCACUUCAGUCUGUUUUAUACUUUUCAUCUGUUCCUGCUCAUUUUCUUUCACGUACACUGGUGAUCUCUAUAUUAAUCUUGUAGGUCAACUAAAUUACAGGGGAUUUAGACCAUUUUUGUCCCGCACUGGUACAGCCAAAGGGUUAAAAUACUCUAGUUUACAUGUACUAACAUUAUACCUUCUCUUUGUUCACAUUAAUUUUUCCCUAAAUUAUUCACACAGUCAGGCCCUCUAGCCUACAAAACAAAGAACAGAACAACCAGGCAGCAGAUAGUAUUGUGGAUUAUUUUAAUAUUGCCAUGGACUAUACAGGUUAUGCCUCUGCUGUUACAUCCUAAUCAUCUGCCUGGCCUAAACCAAUCCAUCCCACUAUUUUUUUUGCCACCAACUGAUAGCUCAAGUUACUUCUCCUCUGUAGAAACUAAGGAAAAACACACAAAUAGGAAGUCACUUGCACUACGUGCUACUCUAAAAUGUUCAGCAAACGUGAUGAUCCCUGAAGAACUGUUACCUCUUCCCUUAUUUUCCUCAAGUACUUGAGCAGUUGUUACCAACAUUUUUCAGGACAAUUAGAUAUCUAAUUUAGAGUAAGCAAUUUUUGUUCUAUAGAAAACAGAAGGCUACAGACCCAAAAGAAGUCUCUAUUGAGAACCAUAUAGAUAAGGAGGGUAAUUGAGAACUAGCAUCCUCCUAGAUGUGAUGAAAUCAAUACCUUGAGGAAGGUUUUCAGCAACGUAGAAAUAACACCUCCAUAAAAAUACAAAUACAGAGUUACUGGUAUCACCAGCAGUUAAUAGCACAACAGACCUGCACUCAAACAUGUAACCUUCCAUUAACACCACAAAAAGAAUGUUGCUUUUGGUUUCUAGGUAGUCAUAAGUCAUGCAUUCCCAGGUAUCUGAUUUAUGAGAUCAAAAGAGUUAGUAUUUUCAGUGCUAAAACCAAUGGAAGGCUAUGAAAAGCUAUUGUUUACUUUUUGUGUAUGAAAUUGCUACAUGUGCAAUUGUUUUGCCAAAGAGCUGUUUGAAUGAUUUUGUGAUGUAAAUAUUUCAAAGUCAUAAUAUCACUUAGAUGUAUUUAAAAGUAUCAGAUUUAAACCAACUUUUUCUAAUAAAGGUUUAUAGUAGUUUUUA